ACCUUCCAGAAUGUGUGGGAGAUGC
rnacentral:piRNA from 2 species